UGCUGGAGGUAUCAGAAGUGCGAAUGCUGACAUAAGUAACGAUAAAGCGGGUGAAAAGCCCGCUCGCCGGAAGACCAAGGGUUCCUGUCCAACGUUAAUCGGGGCAGGGUGAGUCGACCCCUAAGGCGAGGCCGAAAGGCGUAGUCGAUGGGAAACGGGUUAAUAUUCCCGUACUUGGUGUUACUGCGAAGGGGGGACGGAGAAGGCUAUGUUGGCCGGGCGACGGUUGUCCCGGUUUAAGCGUGUAGGUGUGUGUUCCAGGUAAAUCCGGUUCACUUUAACACUGAGGCGUGACGACGAGGCACUACGGUGCUGAAGCAACAAAUGCCCUGCUUCCAGGAAAAGCCUCUAAGCAUCAGGUAACAUCAAAUCGUACCCCAAACCGACACAGGUGGUCAGGUAGAGAAUACCAAGGCGCUUGAGAGAACUCGGGUGAAGGAACUAGGCAAAAUGGUGCCGUAACUUCGGGAGAAGGCACGCUGACACGUAGGUGAAGUGAUUUACUCAYGGAGCUGAAGUCAGUCGAAGAUACCAGCUGGCUGCA
rnacentral:rRNA from 1 species